GGGGAUGUAACUCAGUGGUUAGAGUGCUUGCCUAACAGGCAUGAGGUCCUUGUUUCAAUCCCCA
rfam:Heterocephalus glaber contig156616, whole genome shotgun sequence.